CCGUAUGCGUAAAUCGUGGCGCUGUCGGCAGCGAUCCACCGUUUGGUGUCCAUGGGCGACAGCGACGUCUUGUUGAGGGUUAUCGAGAGCACAAAAAUGGUCAGGACUACUAGAUUGGUACUACCUCCGACAUGCAUCUCUGCGAUUUCAAGCAGAGAACAUCGUUCGAUGU